CUCUGCCAUGUGUUGGUCUCAUUUUUAGGGAACUCAGUAAUAAUGAUCAUCAAUAUCAUCAGGUUGACUCUGAUGGUCCUGAUCCUGAUUCCUCUGCUUGUCUUGAGUCUGUGGAUGAGGAGGAAGAAACGUAUCAUCUUAAAAGCUGAACCAAAUGAACCUGUAGAGAUGACUGAGGUACACUCUGAUCCUGAAUGAUUCCUGAUUCAUCCUCAAAGGCUGUAACUGCAGCACAGACGGAUGACGAGGAGGAAGACUAGCUGUGAAGUCCACUCAGGUCACAGCAGGGGUGUCACUGCAGGUCAAGGGUCACAUUCAGCCCAGUUUGAUAUUUUCUGUGGACUAAAACAUUUGCUAAUAAGCUAAAAAAUUCCAGAAUUGUCCCCUUUCUCCUUUUUCUUUUAUAAAUGGUGUGAUGAACAGCCUGGGGUGUUUUUCCACAUGCAGCCAAUCUAAUGUCAUCACAGAGAAACCCACAGAGCUCACACUCUAAGAAAUAAAUGCAGAAAAUCACAGAGAAAGUGCUGAGAACUCUUUACCCGGGCUUUGUCCCAUGAUCC